UGAGGAAUAUUGGUCAAUGGGCGCAAGCCUGAUCCAGCCAUGCCGCGUGCAGGAAGACGGCCCUAUGGGUUGUAAACUGCUUUUACACCGGAGAAAACCUCCCCUCGUGAGGGGAGCUGAUAGUAUGGUGAGAAUAAGCAUCGGCUAACUUCGUGCCAGCAGCCGCGGUAAGACGAAGGAUGCAAGCGUUAUCCGGAUUCAUUGGGUUUAAAGGGAGCGUAGGUGGCCUUAUAAGUCAGUGGUGAAAUCUCUGGGCUUAACCCAGAAAUUGCCAUUGAUACUGUAGGGCUUGAGUACAGUUGCUGUGGGCGGAAUAUGACAUGUAGUGGUGAAAUACAUAGAGAUGACAUAGAACACCGAUUGCGAAGGCAGCUCACUACGGAUGUAUUGACACUGAGGCACGAAAGCGUGGGGAUCAAACA
rnacentral:rRNA from 1 species